rnacentral:rRNA from 1 species
UACGUAGGGCGCAAGCGUUAUCCGGAAUUAUUGGGCGUAAAGAGCUCGUAGGCGGUUUGUCGCGUCUGCCGUGAAAGUCCGGGGCUCAACUCCGGAUCUGCGGUGGGUACGGGCAGACUAGAGUGAUGUAGGGGAGACUGGAAUUCCUGGUGUAGCGGUGAAAUGCGUAGAUAUCUGGAGGAACACCGGUGGCGAAGGCGGCAUUCUGGACCGAAACUGACGCUGAGGCGCGAAAGCCAGGGGAGCAAACGGG